CAAAGGAGGUCACGUGGGAUUGCUUGAAAAUGGCGAAACGAAACUUGUGAAUCGUGCAUUUGCUCUUCUUGGUAGCUGCCAGAAAAUCGAAUCAAGCUUAUGGGACACUGGAUUACAGGUUGCUGCCACUACUCCAUGUGCCCGCAAUUGUCUUGCGUGUAUGAUUACACUAACGGCGUCGCCCACCACGGCGGAAGUGUUUUGCGUACACGCGUUUCAGCAUGAAGCCUGCAGGUGGACGUAAAUUGUAGAAGGCAGCUAGUGGGGGAGAAGAUCAUGGUCAUAGGUCAUGUGACUCCUGGAGAUCCCAGUGGGCUCCCUUGUGGAGUACUUUUCAGAACACACACACAUACAGUUUGCUCACAGAACCAACGAGUAGGAUGUUGCUUGAAUACUGAGAGAAAAUGGCGUAACACAUACAAAUAUCGUGUGACACAUAUGACAAUAAAAACAUUUUUCACGAGGGAUGCAUGAAACACUGUCGCAAUAUUGUGUGCAUGAACCAUUGUGUGUGACACAAGCCGUGGGGGCACACCGCCUCGGACACAUUUUGGGAAGCAUAAAACACAGUAUAUACAGAGCUAGUAUGGUGGAUGCUUCUUUUUUCUUUUUGGCCGUUAUGAGACAUCUUCGGCCGUAAUGAGACUACCUUCGGCCGUAUUGAGACUUUGGCCGUAACGAGACACUUGGGGAUUAAAGGAUUUUCGGCCGU